rnacentral:rRNA from 1 species
UAGGGAAUCUUCGGCAAUGGGGGGAACCCUGACCGAGCAACGCCGCGUGAGUGAAGAAGGUUUUCGGAUCGUAAAGCUCUGUUGUUAAGGAAGAACGAGUGUGAGAAUGGAAAGUUCAUACUGUGACGGUACUUAACCAGAAAGGGACGGCUAACUACGUGCCAGCAGCCGCGGUAAUACGUAGGUCCCGAGCGUUGUCCGGAUUUAUUGGGCGUAAAGCGAGCGCAGGCGGUUAGAUAAGUCUGAAGUUAAAGGCAGUGGCUCAACCAUUGUAGGCUUUGGAAACUGGUUAACUUGAGUGCAGAAGGGGAGAGUGGAAUUCCAUGUGUAGCGGUGAAUUGCGUAGAUAUAUGGAGGAACACCGGUGGCGAAAGCGGCUCUCUGGUCUGUAACUGACGCUGAGGCUCGAAAGCGUGGGGAGCGAACAGG